GUGGCCCAUGUAGUUUCCUCUGGGAGACCCGAGUUGGACUCGGUUAACUUGUUCUUAUACUGCACUGUAAAUUUAAUUCUCGUCUUUUAU